GACGAACGCUGGCGGCGUGCUUAACACAUGCAAGUCGAACGGAAAGGCCCUGCUUUUGUUGGGUGCUCGAGUGGCGAACGGGUGAGUAACACGUGAGUAACCUGCCCUUGACUUUGUGAUAACUUCAGGAAACUGGGGCUAAUACCGGAUAGGAUCUCCUGCUGCAUGUUGGGGGUUGGAAAUUUUCGGCGGUUGGGGAUGGACUCGCGGCUUAUCAGCUGGUUGGUGGGGUAGUGGCUUACCAAGGCUUUGACGGGUAGCCGGCCUGAGAGGGUGACCGGCCACAUUGGGACUGAGAUACGGACCAGACUCCUACGGGAGGCAGCAGUGGGGAAUAUUGCACAAUGGGCGGAAGCCUGAUGCAGAAACGCCGCGUGCGGGAUGACGGCUUUUGGGUUGUAAACAGCUUUCGCCUGAGACGAAGCGUGAGUGACGGUAAUGGGUAAAGAAGCACCGGCUAACUACGUG
rnacentral:rRNA from 1 species